AGAUUAUCUGUGGUCUUUUCUCUUUAUCCCCUCCUUUUGCCCUUUAGGGGAGAGAAGAGUGUGGAGGGAGGAAUCGGGGAAGCCCAGUGCCGUACUGAUGCUCUGGACUUUGUUUUUGGAGGUAGCCUGUGAUGCAGGGCAGAAAAGAGCUGAUGCCUUGGAGAGAGACUGGGAGAGGCUGGAGUUAAUAGAGGGUCCCAGGGUAUCCAAGAAGCUGUCAUCCAGGUCUUCUCCAAUGAAGCUACAACAACCCACAGAGCCAGCAGGGGAACCUACACCUUCGAUGUCAUAUAUGAGCAAACAGUCAUUAGAUGGGCGUCCUUCAUCUUCAUCUGCAUGGAGUGAAUAUGAUGAUUCUGUGAAGGUUUAUUGCAACAUGACUUUUUCAGCACAGCAACAGGAAAAUUUGACUCUGGGUCUGUUCUACAAAAUUAAAGUCGUGGGAUGCUCGUGAAUUAAGAAACAACCAAAAAUGCCAAAUAUUGAGACUCUUGAAAUCAAAUUAAGUAUGAUCUGAGAUUAAGAACUUCUGAGAAGAAUUUAAGCAUGAACAUAUAUAUUGACAUGAAGUCCACUUACAAUGAAGAAAGGAGUGACCUCUCGAUCAACUAUGGAUGUUAUAUUAAUUUCACCAGUUUUCUGAUUAAUGACAAAGAUCCCAUAUGGUGGCUGAUCAAUUCCUACUCCAGAGAUGCGGUAUGUAACUUGCUGGUUUGCAGCACAAUCUGAGUGAAUCUGCAGAAGGAACACAAGUAAAAAUAUUAGAGGGAGCAAAUAGAGUUCUAUAUUUGAUAUACGACAGCUUUCUUGAGAGUUGUUGCAUGUGAUGACCUUGUUAUUUAGGAAAUGUUGUCAAUGGAGAUUAUUUUCCUAGAUAAGAGUAACAAUUACAGCUCUAAUAUUUUCAAUGGUAACUGACAAUGUAAUCAAAGAAAUUCGGUUUCUGCUUCUAUGAAACAUGAAAAAAUGCGAAAUAUCACCCUACUAUAUCUAAGUCUAUGCAAUCAUCAUGCAUGACUUCAUUCAUUCAACAGUUAAAAUUUGAUCUUGUAUUAUUUGCAGGGUCUGUGCUUGCACUGGAGCUACAGAAGGAAACUCUUUGCCCUCUUAAGGAGUUUAUCAAUGUUGUCAUCAUGCAACUUUAAUCUUCAAUUUGUUUUAAAUGUAAAGUUUUCGAAGAAAGUAGAUUUAUUUAGGUGACAAGAGUUAUCUGGGUUUGAGUGGAAGCUCUGAAUUCUGAAAAUGGGAAGGGUGUAUUAGCAGAAAAGGAAGGAGACCACGCGAAUAAAUGGUUAUAGAAACCAGAACUCUUUCUUUGAAAUAAAAUAUUGUUUGGCUGUAAACAAAUC
rnacentral:lncRNA from 1 species